rnacentral:tRNA from 1 species
GCGGGUGUAGCUCAGUUGGUUGAGCAUCAGCCUUCCAAGCUGAGGGUCGCGAGUUCGAAUCUCGUCGCCCGCU